AUGCAUGUUUUCUCCUCAAAAACUGGGUUAUGGAAGGAGAAGUCAUUUAUUCGCCAAGGGGAUUCCGCAGGAACAAUCGCAGAGGUAAGAUCGGCUUAUGAACCAUUCUACAGUGCUGCCUAUUGGAAAGGGGCGCUCUAUGUUCAUUGCGAACAAGAUUCCGUUUUCAGAAUUAACUUGUUGCAUGAUGAGUACCAACUAAUUAAGCUUCCAAAAGGAAAAGAAGGAUAUCACAAAGUUCGUAUUGGAAAAUCGAAGAAUGGGGUGUAUUCUGUAUUCUGCGAAGGGCUAUGCACAUUUCAGGUUUGGUUCCUUGAUGAAUCGCAUGGCCAGACGGAGUGGGUAUUGAAAAGUGACAUAAACCUUCAACCAGCUGACAAAAAUUAUGCUUGGAACGAGUUGGACGAUGGCCCCUGGAGCUUACAAUCGGACGAUCAGAGGGACUGGGUGUUGAAGAAUGAUGUCAACCUUGAGCCAGUGGACGGCAUCAGGGGAGCAACAGUGCAAGAUGAUUUUGAAUGGGACACUGACAAUGAAUGUAUCAUUGGCACUACAGAUUGGGGAAAAAAAUGA
rnacentral:rRNA from 1 species